GCCGCAAUAGCUCAGUUGGUAGAGCACGUCAUUCGUAAUGACGGGGUCGGGGGUUCGAAUCCCUCUUGCGGCACCA
rnacentral:tRNA from 49 species